UUUGAACAAAAAUGAAACAAACAUAUAAAAUAUGGAAACAAAGAAUAUAGAGAUAUUAUUGAAUAAAAUUAUCAUAAUAAAGUUGUUCUAUUGCCUAACAAUUAUUAAUCUUGUCCUUCUGUCAUGUCCGCGUGUUGUAUGCUUGGAGGGAAACAAAAGUGCUCUAAGGCAGUCUCACGUUGAUGACGACUUAGACUCGAGCCACUUUGGAAUAAUAACUACCGCUUUGGAUCCGGCCGCCGCCGCAGCACAAAAGUUUACAUUUAUACAGACCACACUGCCGAGCUUACAAAAGACCACACCAAUGAGGAUAUCUUUCAAAGAAGACUGUGAAUAUCUUGUAUAUUAUUGCUUAAGAGCGUACACUACUGGAAAAGUUUGUGGAAGAACCAUUUACUAUAAGUACCAUACGUUUUCUAACUACUGCAUGUUGGACUAUGUGAAUUGUAUGGAGAGAUACGAAGUUUGGCAAGUUGCAUACAUGGGAAAUUGUACUACAGUUGAAUCGCUCACUGAAUACUUGUUGUAUCCGUACGAUGACGAUUUCUUUUUGGAUCAAUAUUAUGUAAUAGAAGACCACUGAACAGCCGGCAGUUAAUAGAAUGCAGCCUGGAGGGACAUCACUACCACUUGAAUAUUAACAUCUCUAAUUGUAUAUAAAAUAGUGUCUUAUCUUUUACAGUUUAUAAAGCUUCAUAGACCAGGGUCGAUCAUUUUUUAAACCAAAAAAAUAAUAGUAGGAUGAAACCAAUGAAAAGGUCGAGAAUAUAACAAAAAUGAAAGGAUAAAUAAAUUACGGAUGAUCUUAGGUCGGGAAGUGGAAAAAGGGGGCUGUUUUAGGGUAAAAAACGUUAUUUUUCGAUUUUUCGAAAUGGCAAAGUUGUAGGUAAUAAAAAGAUAACUAACUUUUAAGAAAAAAGAAACUUAAAGAAAAAUAACUUUUGUUUUCACACUAUUUUCACAUAACUUGGUUUUUUUAAUUUUUCACAUAAACUUUGAGGUUAAUCGAGAUUAACACCCCCCCCCCUUUUUCACUUCCCGACCUCAGAUCACCCGUAAUUUAUUUUUCCUUUCAUUUUUGUUACAUUCUCUUCCUUUUCCAAUAAGUUUCAUCCUACUAUUAUUAUUUUAUCACUUUUUAUCAUUUUCAAAGGCCUUGGCACUGGUCUAUCAUUGCCUUGUCUGAAUUUAUAUAUUUAUAUGAUAUA